CAAUCGUCCAUGUUGACGUUAAGCUUUUGUUAGAACAUUGAUCUAUGAUCAUGUUCUGAAAAACAAACCCACGAUUUGUUUAAUGGUUAUUUAGUUAAAACAAUGCUUUUACUAUGCUUUGAGAUUACUACUUUGAUAUUAUUGCUACUGUUUGUUUGUUGUUAACUAAAUUAUGGUAAGUGUGUUUUGGUAUGAUUUGAUCUUUACUUACUAUGCUAUGAGUUUCAACUAAAUCAUGCCAUAUGCCCUGAUCAGUGCUAUACUACUCUGUUGGUAUCCAUAUAUGUAAGUUGAAAUGUCAUAACCAUUUACUACUUAUCAUUCCCUGAUUUAACUAAAACAUGUCAUAUGCCUAAGAUUAUCUAUUAAAAUGCCUAGAUCAUUGCUUAUCUACUAGUCUUUGAUUUAUAACUGAAUCAUGCUUUGAUAUGCCUUGAUCAAUACUAAUACAUGCUACUACUCUUCUAUAACUGAAUCAUGUUUUAAUAUGCCUUGAUCAAUACUCAUACAUGCUACUACUCUUUUAUAACUGAAUUAUCUAUAAGAGUUGAAAUUGCUAAGAUCGUUGCUUAUACAGGCUAAGAUCAUUGCUUAUUAGAGACAACUUCACCGGCUGCUGCCAAAGAGUCAGUUAAAGAUGUUACUUUGAUUAUGAAAUCCCUAAUCGAUUCAUUUUCCCUUUUCUUUAAAAUUCUUAGUUCAUCCCGAUUGCUUGCUGAUGUACUGCCUUCCUUGGUGAUAAAUGCAAUUAUAGUUUCUACUCACGUCGUACUGUGGUUCAUUACCAAUGAAAACAUCGGUGGUCCAACUGAAGAUUGAAUCCAUCCCAAUACUGCCAAGUCCUUUUCUAACCAUAUCUCAUGAGCUGAAUUAGGUGAGCCGUCACCUCUCUUUUCAGGAGGAAUUUCUUGUUUGUCAUCUACAAUAUCAGAAACAUGAUUCAACCGGAAUAAAUUCUCCAUUUGACCUCUCCAAAACAGAUAUGUUGAUGCUCCUUCUAGCGGAGUUCUAAUCCAGUAGGAGACUUGACAUUUAUAUAGAGAAUCGAGGAGAGUAGCUUUAUCAUGGUUUGCCAUCGGAAGAUCAGAAAAAAUACUGCAGUGAAAAUAAAAACAAAUUUCACCACUGCAGCUUUCUAAAUGAAUCGCAAAUAAAAUGCGAUAAAGAUUUUUUUUUAUUUACUGAAUAUCACUAUUGAUAUAUCAGUAAUCUUACUAAAAAAUAACAAUUAAACAAACAAACAAUCUAAAAAAAAUAUCAACCUAAACAAACUAAACAAUGAGUUUAAUUGUAGCAACAAAACAAAACAAACUCAAUCUGAAAUUAAACUCAAUCGCAACUAAUCACCUAAUAAGCAAUCAAUAGAAAGAAGAAAAAAUAAAUAACUUGCUGACCUGUAAUAGCACUCACAACCUGUAAUCAAAAUUCAAUAGCAGAGAAGAUGAUUAAAAAAAAAAAAUUCUAACCUGUAAUCGCUAACCUGCAGAACACAACUACAAAGAACCUGUAGUUUUCAAAGAACAACUACCAAAAGAAGAAAAAAACUACAAAGCAACUACGCAAUUCAAUUCCAUACAAUAGACUCAGAAUCAGAUCUGUAGUUUAAAGAAGAAAAGAAAAUAUUCGAAAUCUGAACUCUGUGAUUUAAAGAAGAAGGAAAAAAAAUGUGAUAUCUGAAAAUUGUAAAUCGAAAUUGUAAAUCACAUAAUCGAAAUUUGUAAAGAAGAAGAAAUCACAAAUCACAGUUUGUAGAUUUGUAAAUCGAAUCUAUCGAUUUGUAAGGAAGAGACGAAAUCGAAGGAACAAUCUGUCGAUUGUCAAAAAAUUGAAAAAACAAUAAGUCGAUUGUCGAACAAUCGAAGAAAAGGGGAAAAAAAACAAAUCGAUCAAGAUCAAAAAGAAAUCAAACUAAAAUUUCAGAAUCAAUCAAAAAAGAAAGAAAUCAAACUAUUUCAGAAUCGAUCAAAAUUUCAGAAUCAAUCAGGCAUCCGAUCGGAAAUAAAUUUCAGAAGCAAAACAGUCGCACACAUAAAUAAAUCUCAUUCGAAUCGGAAAUAUUGCAAGAUCGGCAAGCAUCCGAUCGUGAAAGAUCGCAAAGUCCAAUCGUAAAGUUUAUCAAAUCCAAUCUAAGACUGCAAUCUCAAGAUCUGAAAAUCUAAAAUCAAGAAUCAAACCUGAGAAGAAUCGACGCUGAAGACAAGCGCAGAUCCGACACGAACGCGGGAGAAGCAGAGGUGCUCGCGGGAGGGAUCGUAGUGACUCAGAUGAAUCUGCAACUUCCAGCAAAUCUGCACAUCCAGAAAAAGAAAAAUAAUCGCAAAUCUGCAGAGAAACAAUCACCAAUCGGAAAUCAAAAAUCGCACGGAAUCGCAGAAGAAGACGAUCUCGCAGAGAAAGACGAUCAAUGAAGCUAGAAAACUGAUACCAUCUCAGAAAUGCUUAACAUUGAUUAUCAUUGAAUUGGAAAGAUUAGUUAUUACAACAUAACAAAUAUCCUUUUAUAGGAUUGAGAAUUUACUCAACUAACAGAUUACAUGUUUACCACACUACCCUUGAUGAUUUAACAUUCAAUAGCCAAUACAGUAGCU
rnacentral:lncRNA from 1 species